rnacentral:misc_RNA from 1 species
GAUGAAGAACGCAGCGAAAUGCGAUAAGUAAUGUGAAUUGCAGAAUUCAGUGAAUCAUCGAAUCUUUGAACGCACAUUGCGCCCCCUGGUAUUCCGGGGGGCAUGCCUGUCCGAGCGUCAUUACAACCCUCAAGCUCAGCUUGGUGUUGGGCCCCGCCGCCCCGGCGGGCCCUAAAGUCAGUGGCGGUGCCGUCCGGCUCCGAGCGUAGUAAUUCUUCUCGCUCUGGAGGUCCGGUCGUGUGCUCGCCAGCAACCCCCAAUUUUUUUCAGGUUGACCUCGGAUCAGGUAGGGAUACCCUCUGAACUUAAGCAUAUCAAUAAGCGGAGGA